UUCUUUUCUUCCCCCAAGCCGCUCUGGCCGUUUCUCUUCUCUUCCCCAACGACCGCGCCGACGCCGCCCUCGUGCCCGGCGUCCUCGUGCCCGUUCCUCUCUUCCCCUCCAGUACAAAAGCGAGCCUUUCCUUGCAUCGAUUCAAUUCCUCUUCGCCUCUGCUCCUUCCCAUCGCAGCGCCGAGCGUCGCCGAGCCACCUUUUGCCGAGGUUAUGCCCUAGCCUCUCCGCAGUCCACCGCCGUCGAACGGAGAGUGUCGACUGCCAUUCCUAUGCCCUAGAUUCGCUCAGCAUCGCCUUCCCUCAUGCCCUUGUGUCGAUCCACCACCUCCUCUGCUUGAUCCAUUCCGCACAAGUCAGAUUGUGAUUGGAGCCCUAAAUUGGUGGAGACGAUUGUGAUCAGAUUCCAGGCGAUAACAGUGAUCUUGGAGGUAGAGGAGCCGCUAGAUUCCAUCCGACCCCCAUCACUGCUAGCUGGAAGUUUUGCAUCGCCGGAUCUGUGAUUAUCACUGACGAUUAUCGAGGGAGAGGUAAGGAUUCCAAUAGUAAGGCUAUUCUGUGGACUUUCUGGUGCCAGCAGCAACCUCAUUUUCACAGCAACGUUCCUUUUUGUGUGUAAAAAAUAGGAGGAAGGGGGGGGGGGGCUAAACUUGAGGAAUUUGAUGCAAGACGAGUAUCUUGACGUCGGAUUUGGACUGAAUUGAACCUUUCUUUGG